rnacentral:ncRNA from 2 species
GUGUCAAUUUGUGCGCUAACCUAGAUCCCAUAAAGGGUGCUUGUCGAUUAAGACAGCAGGACAGUGGUCACAAAAAUUGAAAUCCGCUAAGCAAUGUGUAGCAAAUCACCUGCCCAAUCAAAUAGCCCCAAAAUGGAUGACACUUAAAUGCACGAC